ACGGGUGAGGAAUACAUCGGAAUCUACCUUUUCGUGGGGGAUAACGUAGGGAAACUUACGCUAAUACCGCAUACGACCUUCGGGUGAAAGCAGGGGACCUUCGGGCCUUGCGCGGAUAGAUGAGCCGAUGUCGGAUUAGCUAGUUGGCGGGGUAAAGGCCCACCAAGGCGACGAUCCGUAGCUGGUCUGAGAGGAUGAUCAGCCACACUGGAACUGAGACACGGUCCAGACUCCUACGGGAGGCAGCAGUGGGGAAUAUUGGACAAUGGGCGCAAGCCUGAUCCAGCCAUACCGCGUGGGUGAAGAAGGCCUUCGGGUUGUAAAGCCCUUUUGUUGGGAAAGAAAAGCAAUCGAUUAAUACCCGGUUGUUCUGACGGUACCCAAAGAAUAAGCACCGGCUAACUUCGUGCCAGCAGCCGCGGUAAUACGAAGGGUGCAAGCGUUACUCGGAAUUACUGGGCGUAAAGCGUGCGUAGGUGGUUGUUUAAGUCUGUUGUGAAAGCCCUGGGCUCAACCUGGGAAUUGCAGUGGAUACUGGGCAACUAGAGUGUGGUAGAGGGUAGUGGAAUUCCCGGUGUAGCA
rnacentral:rRNA from 2 species